UGAAUCAAGAGUAUAUGGGGAUGAUCUUCAUACAUUCAACGGCAGAAUGCAGAGAAAAAAAAUGGGGGACAGAAUCCCCCAUUUUACCAUUAACU
rnacentral:sRNA from 1 species